rnacentral:rRNA from 1 species
AUUGAACGCUGGCGGCAGGCCUAACACAUGCAAGUCGAGCGAGCGGCGGACGGGUGAGUAAUGUCUGGGAAACUGCCUGAUGGAAGGGGAUAAAUACUGGAAACGGUGGCUAAUACCGCAUAUCAUCGUAUGUGCCCAGAUGGGAUUAGCUAGUAGGUGGGGUAACGGCUGACCUAGGCGACGAUCCCUAGCUGGUCUGAGAGGAUGACCAGCCACACUGGAACUGAGACACGGUCCAGACUCCGACGGGAGGCAGCAGUGGGGAAUAUUGCACAAUGGGCGAAAGCCUGAUGCAGCCAUGCCGCGUGAGUGAAGAAGGCCUUCGGGUUGUAAAGCACUUUCAGCGGGGAGGCGUUACCCGCAGAAGAAGCAACGGCUAACUCCGUGCCAGCAGCCGCGGUAAUUC